rnacentral:lncRNA from 1 species
ACCCGGCAAGGUGAGGGGAUGGGGAGGGGGUGGGAGAGGGGAUGGGGAUGUGGGGAGGGAGGGAUGGGGACGUGGAGAGGGAGGGCUGGGGACAUGGAGACGGAGACAUGGAGACGUGGAGAGGGCUGGGGCCAUGGAGAUGGAGAGAUGGGGAUGUGGAAACGGAGAGAUGGGGACAUGGAGAGGGCUGGGGACAUGGAGACAGAGGGCUGGGGGCACAGGGCAGUGCGCCCCCGCGGUGCUCUCGACAUCACCCCCAGCCCCCAGCCCUCCGGCACCGUCUCCUUGCCAUCCCCGGCACCCCUCGGGCACCGCGGCCCCUCCGCGCCCCCCUGCAUCCCUCGGGAGCUGUCCCCCCACGGGCACGGCCCCGUGACCCCGCUCCCUGCAUCCCCCCGCAGCACGGUGUCUCCUCCGCACCCCCACAUCCCUGGGGUGUCACUGCCCCCCGUGGUGCCCCCCCUGCAGCCCCCCAGCAUGGGGACCCCUCCUGGGGCAGCAGCGACCCCGCAGGGUGCCCCCUGCCGCCCUCCUCCAUGGCCAUGUGAGGGGCUCCCCCCCCCCUGAGCCCCCCAGACGCCUCCCCGCCACCCCCCUUUCCCCGUGGCCCCCCCACCAUGGCUCCCUGGGGUCCCUCCCCCUGCCCCCCCACAUCCUGCCCCAGCCCCCUCCCACAUCCCUCUCCCUCCCCCUGCGCCCCCCCAGCACCCCCCCAGCACCCCCAUCCCUGCUGCGUCGCCUCCUUGGGGUGCCCUGGAAAGGGGGGGACACACAGUGAGGGGCUGCCUGGGGGGGCAGAGGGGAUUUGGGGGGGGAUUCAUGGGGUCUUCCAUUGCCGGGGAGGAGGCAGAGCUGCCGGCCGCCUCGCUGCCUCCGGAGCUCAUUGUUCACCAACAAAGCCCUUCCCAACCCCCCCCCCCUCAUUGUGCAUCUCUGGGCCACGCACCCUGAUGCAUGGGGCCCAGGGGGGGGCUGCGGUGCCCCCCGAUGGGGCUGUGUCCCCCUGAUAAAUGGGGGGGGGCGUGGGUGCCACCACCCCCCCGGCACUGGCAGCAAUCCAUAAAAUGGCUUCGCCGAAUCUCUCGGCGGCGCGGGGCGGACGUGACCUACAUGGAGCCGGCACAAAGGCGGCCGUGAUGCUGCCACCACCUCUCCCCCAUGUCCCCACGUCCCCAUGUCCCCAUAUCCCCAUCCCCUCAUCCCAUGGGUGAAGCCACCCCGUGCCCCGAUCCAUGCCACCGCUCCCU